CAUAGGUUAAUGAGGCGAACCGGGGGAACUGAAACAUCUAAGUACCCCGAGGAAAAGAAAUCAACCGAGAUUCCCCCAGUAGCGGCGAGCGAACGGGGAGCAGCCCAGAGCCUGAAUCAGUGUGUGUGUUAGUGGAAGCGUCUGGAAAGGCGCGCGAUACAGGGUGACAGCCCCGUACACAAAAAUGCACAUGCUGUGAGCUCGAUGAGUAGGGCGGGACACGUGGUAUCCUGUCUGAAUAUGGGGGGACCAUCCUCCAAGGCUAAAUACUCCUGACUGACCGAUAGUGAACCAGUACCGUGAGGGAAAGGCGAAAAGAACCCCGGCGAGGGGAGUGAAAAAGAACCUGAAACCGUGUACGUACAAGCAGUGGGAGCACGCUUAGGCGUGUGACUGCGUACCUUUUGUAUAAUGGGUCAGCGACUUAUAUUCUGUAGCAAGGUUAACCGAAUAGGGGAGCCGAAGGGAAACCGAGUCUUAACUGGGCGUUAAGUUGCAGGGUAUAGACCCGAAACCCGGUGAUCUAGCCAUGGGCAGGUUGAAGGUUGGGUAACACUAACUGGAGGACCGAACCGACUAAUGUUGAAAAAUUAGCGGAUGACUUGUGGCUGGGGGUGAAAGGCCAAUCAAACCGGGAGAUAGCUGGUUCUCCCCGAAAGCUAUUUAGGUAGCGCCUCGUGAAUUCAUCUCCGGGGGUAGAGCACUGUUUCGGCAAGGGGGUCAUCCCGACUUACCAACCCGAUGCAAACUGCGAAUACCGGAGAAUGUUAUCACGGGAGACACACGGCGGGUGCUAACGUCCGUCGUGAAGAGGGAAACAACCCAGACCGCCAGCUAAGGUCCCAAAGUCAUGGUUAAGUGGGAAACGAUGUGGGAAGGCCCAGACAGCCAGGAUGUUGGCUUAGAAGCAGCCAUCAUUUAAAGAAAGCGUAAUAGCUCACUGGUCGAGUCGGCCUGCGCGGAAGAUGUAACGGGGCUAAACCAUGCACCGAAGCUGCGGCAGCGACGCUUAUGCGUUGUUGGGUA
rnacentral:rRNA from 1 species